UGCCGUGGGUCAAUGAACUAAGAAGUCAACCUUAUUACUGAGGUAAUGCUACAGUUAUAAGUAUUUCCAUGUUAGGUCAGAUGUUAGCAUUUACAUUAUACUUUGUCGUCUGUUUAGCUAUCAUUCUUAUUGGCGAAAAGCUGAAAGCCAGCAAUAAUCUGCUCCAAAGAAAUUUAUAUGGUAUUCCUCGAUUGCAAGAAAAAAUGUAGCAUAUCCAUAUCAUUAGUAGACAUUCCUUGAAGUGGCAAAUCAUUGUGUGCCCUAAAUUUGGAUGUUAGUAUUUUCGUUGGGCUAGAAUUUUUGCCUGAGUUGGACAGCAUAUAUAGGUUUCAUUAUAUGGAACUGCAAAUGCUCAGCUGAUUGCUAUAAUGAACUUAAUUUCCAGGAUAAUGGGCAAUGUUGUCCCCUUCUUAGCGUUCCUCUUCUAAUGCAAACUAGGAGUACAUGGUUUAGCGUCCCCUCAUUCAUUUUAUAUAUCUCUGUUUCUGAGAUCAGUUUAACUCCAUUACUGAAGCCGUAUGGGGUUGCUGUGCAUUCAGAUAAUCAAAUGCAAUUCUGUCAUAUAAUGUUAUUAUGGAGAUGACAUGGAGCACGGGAUGUCAAUUUGUUACUUCGUAGUCCAAGCUCGCACAAUUGCAUGCCUUGUUAACAUUUCAGACAUAAAGAUCCCGAUUGAUAAAAUCAGUUAUUUUAGACUUCAGCAACCAAAGUACUUUGUAGGAGAGUAAUGUAACUUUGACCUGUAUAUGGAUGACCUUUCUUAUAUCCAUAUGGUUGGGUACUGACCUACUUGCAUUUAGGCUUGAUCCGGCACUAGCAGCCAACUUCUAGUGGGCUAAUGCCAUCAUUUUUAUUUCCAUAUUGUUAUAUACGGAUGAUUAUUAAGUAUAGGGCACAUGAUUAUGUCUGCAUUGCUGGCAACUUUGGAGUUUCUCAUGCAUCUUUAACUUGAAAAUGACUUGCUGGAGAUCUAGAGUUUUUUAUUGUGUUCCUUUUGUCCCUGGGCAGGAUUUUAAUCUAAAGCACAGGAUGGUGGAACGUGCUGUUUUGGGGAGAUUACAGUUUCUUACCCUGUGAUGAAGAACAAACCACACAAUUUUAGGCUAGAUGAGCUAAUUCAGGCUAUCCAGAGUAAGGCACAGGCGCCGACUAUUGGUUGCCAGCUCGCCAGGAAGACUGCAGUUGAGCUUUCUCCCUCUGGUCUGUUGAGAGUGAAGAGAAGAGGAGGACAAUUGAUGGCAGAGCUGGUGGAUGGUUGGUUACUUGCUGACAAGGUUAAUACUAAUGUUCUUGCUCAUAUCUGGAUAGAAUUGGAAAACCCCGCAAUCAUGUACAUUGCCAAACAGCCCAACAAUUUGAUUAUUACAUUGACUGAUUGAAAGAUAUAUAGAGUUUACAUUAUGGUUGCCGGACCAGAAGUAAUCUAACUAGUAUAGCCUGUAAAAGACGAAACACAGAAAGGCAAUCAAUAAUGAAGUUUUUCCUUCCAUCUUGUGAGGAUUAUGCUCUUUGCCCCGAUGCUAGCUAGAAUUUCACCUAGCCUGUUUGAUCAACAGCUUGGAAGGAAGUGUGCAUGUUGGUUGCGUGAUCCAUGGCAAUGGCAGUGUUGGAAGGAAAAUAGCCUUGUGGCAUGCUUACACAUGCAUGGGAUGGGUGGGAAUCUCCAAUCUCCUUUCCUUUAUGGGCCUGUGCCCUGUGGUGUGAUGUCUUCUCCGUGUACAGAUGUACCCAACAUGGCCAGCAAUCAUCAAUCUCUCUUGCAUUCCCGGAUCACCAUGGAUCAGAUUUGUGCUUUUUUUGCCUUUAGUUGCUUGAGCAGGGGAGCCUU
rnacentral:lncRNA from 1 species